GACGCCACGUCUGGUGAAAAUGCACUGUUAGUUUUCCCCGCCUACUCAGACAGCUCACCUAGUCUUAUCAGCUCCCCGUCUGUAAUGUUAACCAGCUAGCUAGUAGCAGAAAGUCACUGUGGCUAGCGAAGUAAAUGAAAAAAUAGACAUCUUGUACUGUAGCUAGCUCCGGUCUUGGCCGUAAUACCGGCUAAGGCAUAAUAAGAAAAGUAACGAAUAAUUGUUUAUAACUAACGAUAAAAUGGCGGAAAAGCCAGAGGCUGGAGACAGCGAAGACGAGGUUGAAGAUGUGUACGAAGUGGAGAGGAUUAUUGACAUGCGAACGGAGGAGGGGGAGGUCCUGUACCGGGUUCGCUGGAAGAACUACUCCUCUGAUGAUGACACGUGGGAGCCUGAGGCCCACCUGGAAGAUUGCAGGGAGGUGCUCCUGGGCUACAAGAGGGCUCUGGCAGAGGCUAAGAUCACGAAAGACCAAGAUGCUAAGAAAUGCAUGAAGUUGCCCAUGAAGAGUGAUGUGUUCGAUGCUGACUCUGACAGCGACAGUGAUAUUGACAAGCCCACAGACCUGCAUGUUAAGAAGAAGAAAAAGAAGAAGCCCAGAGAAGAGGAUGAGGAGGAGGCACCUCCCCUGAAGGAGAAGAGGAAAAAGAAGAAAGACAAGCGCAAGGAGGACUUCAGGCCUCGUCCGGCACCGGAGUCUGAUGAAGAGGAGCUUUCCCCUCCCCCAACCCCUGGCCGCGGAACCAAGAUGUCCGACUCCAAAAAGAGAUUUGUUGACUCUGAUGAAGAGGAAGAAGCCCCUGUGCCCUCCAAGAAGCACAGGAAGGACAAGACCAAGGAUGGAGGGAAGCACUGGAAAAAAGAGAAUGGGGAGGAAGGGAAGAAGAAAAAGAAGAAAAAGAAGGAUCGAAGGGGUGAUCUGGAGUCCACUGAAGAUGAGGCCACCGCCCCCCUGGAAGAGGAGCUUAGCGAGGGGCCAUCUGAGUCCCAGACGGAUGAUACCACCACAACGGAAAAGUCUCGCGCUGAUGACAAGCCCAAGAAUAAAAAGGGUAAGUCAGAACUGAAGCUGCAGGGCAUCAAGGACUUCCUUCAGGACAAGAAAGGCAAGAAACUGGAAACUUUGUCGCCAAUGCUCUCCGCAAGCGGCCUCGCAAAACUGAAGAGCCUCACUUCCUCCAAAAGCCAGGGCCGGGAUGAGCCCACACCAACCUCUGACUCCAGCGACACUCCUGCCCCAGCCCAAGUCCACAAGAAGGCCAAGGGCAAGAGCCACGAGACCACUCCUGCACCGCCUAAAAUUCCCUCUUCCUCAUCCUCGUCUUCCUCCUCCUCCUCUGGUGCAGGGGCAAGCACUAGCAAGACUGUGGAGGAGUCUAAAGUUGUAGUGGGUGGGGAUAAGGAGCCGACCGCCUCCACUAACCUGUUUGAGAAGUUCCUGCUGAACUGCGAGGCCAAGGACCGUGUUCCCCGCAAACAGAUGGUCCAUCAGCCCACCACCACAGAGAACACUAAACCACCAAAGCUCAUAGGGAAAAUUGAGAAAAGGACCAAGCCGACAAAGGAGUCACCUGCUCGGAAGCCAGAGCCAGAUAAGUCCAAACAUACAGACGCAUUUCGGCCCAGUCAGAGCCCCGGUGUUAUGGAGACUGGUGACAGGGCGGAGGCAGAGGAGGAACCCGCCCAGAAGUCAAAGUUCGGUGGAGAGGACCGGAGGGAGGAGGCUCAACGUUGGGAGAGGAGGACCCAAGAGGAUGACAGGAGGAGGAGGAGGAGAGAGGACAGCGAGCCACGGCUCUUCAUCGCCUGUGACGACAAUCAAGACCCCUUGGAGAGCGCUGACAAGUCUGGUACGCAGUUUGACAAAGGGCAAGCCUCUCUUAACCUUGGAAUGGACCUCAACUUGGACUGGAUGACACUGGAGGACUUUCAGAAACAUUUGAACGGAGAGGAUGAGAUUCUCUCUGCUCCACCUCUAUCUCCCAGUGAGCUGCGGGAUGCAGUGAAAAGUGGGGAUUACAUGUCUGUGAAACUUGCACUCAAUUCCAAAGAGGACUACAAUCUGGACCAGGAGGCAUACACUGUUGAACAGAAGAGUUUAAGUGGCAAAGAGAAGAGUUUAAAUGAGGAAGAGGAUAUUUUAAAUGAGGAAAAGAAGACUUUAUGUGAUGAGAAGAGAUUAAGUGAUGAAGAGAAGCCUUUAUGUGCAGCAGGGAAUCCUCGCAGCCUGGGGAAUCCUCACCGCAAAAGGAAUCCUCACCGCGAAAGGAAAUCUCUUUGCAAAGAUGAGAUUCCUCCAUGCGAAGAGAAUCAUUUACACAAGGAAGAGAAACAUUCUCUACACAAUAAAGAGAAGACUUCAUGCGAUGUGGAGAAGACUUUAUGUGACAUGGAGAGAGCUUUAUGUGACAUAAAGAAGGGUGCUGAGGAAAGCAGUUUGAGUGGUGACGAGAUUCAUGAAAACAGUUCAGGUGAUGAGGUAGAACGACAAAGACUUGAUUCAAAUGUUCCAAGUGGGUCAGAUCCUCUUCCAUCUAAUGCAGAAAGCUCAUGCGAGGAUGAAUAUGAGCAGUACCCUCCAAAAACGGCACAAGCUAAAAAAACUUGCCGCAAAAUAUUUGCGCCACGGAAAGGUACACGGUCAAGCUUACGUUCCAGCACAAAAAUGACAGUCAGCACAUGUAGUACGAUAGAUGAUGAUGAUAAGGGAAAAUUGGACAAAAAGUACUUCUGCCUUUAUUGCAAUGAACCACACCAUAACAUUGCAAGACAUUUAGAAAGGAUGCACGCAGAAGAAGCAGCUGUUGGUCAUGCUAUCAGCUUCCCAAAACUCUCCAAAAUCAGGUCUCUGUUGCUUGACCAACUCCGUAACAAAGGCAACGAUCAACACAACUUAGAAAUUCUUCAAUGUGGAGAUGAAGUUGUGACAAAGAAAAUACCUUCUUACAGUGGUGCUUCUGUGCGUGACUACCUACCCUGCCAACACUGUGUAGCCUUUUUUAACAAAAUAGAUUUAUGGAAGCAUGAGAGCUCAUGUAAUGCCAGAAAAGGACAAGAUGAAACGAGGGGAGGAAAAAGAGUGAGUAUCCAGGCUGCGUCCUCUCAACUUGCUCCAUUGCCUGUCUAUUCUACUGGAGGAUGUGAAGAAAUAAUACACAAUAUGAAUCAAGAUGACAUCUCAUGCCACAUCAAAAAUGAUCCCCUCAUAUGUAAAUAUGGCAAUGCACUAUCUGCAAAGCAUGGUCAUGCCAAGUCACAGUUUACCUACAUUGGUUCAAAAAUGAGGGAAUUGGCUAGAUUUGUACUUAAUGUAAAUGAGAUGGACUGUGAUGUCCAAUACUUGCAUGAAGUAUGUGUACCAUCCAAAUUCAAAUUGGCCGUUCAUGCUGCCAGGAAAAUGAGUGGUCAUGACCCUGCCUCCGACAGGUACAAGACCCCAUCUCUUGCUUUAAAGAUUGGCUAUUCCUUGAAAAGAGCUACCGAAAUAGCUUUUGGGGAGAGUCGUAUGACAGAGGACCGUGAGGCAGAGGAACAAGCCAAAAGGUUCAUUGAACUUCUUGAAAACGAUUGGAAUAACUGUUUUUCCGGUCUAUCCCUCAGCGCUGUCCCUAUGUGUGAUGAAGUUGAUGUGUCUUCACUAACUGAGGAUUUGAUCAAACUUCAGAAGUUUCUCAAGGUUGCAGAGGACACAGCGAAGAAAGAAUUGCUGGAAAACCCCACCAACACUGUCUGGAAAAAGCUCAAUGAAACUCUUCUUGCAGAAAUAGCUCUCUUCAACAGAAAAAGGACAGGGGAAGUUGCGAAAAUGCUGUUGGAAACAUACACAAACAGAAAGAAAGCUCCAGCUAGUGCAGACAUUUUCAAUAACCUCUCAAGGCUGGAGCAGGAGCUUGGUGACGACAAAUUAACCAGGUUGGAAAUAGAAGGCAAAAAUGGUAGGAAAAUGCCAGUCCUACUAACGGAGAGGAUGAUCUCAUCUCUUGAGAUCCUUAUUGCAAACAGAGACAAAGUUGGUGUGUCAAAGGACAACCCUUAUGUCUUUGCACGUAGCCUGGAUGCAGCAAGCUACAUCAGAGGGUUUGACUGUCUGAGGAAGUGUGCACAUGAGUGUGAUGCAAAGAAUCCUGAAAGUCUGAUCCAUGCGGCAGUGAGGAAAGAGGUUGCUAUCCAUUGCCAAAUAUUAAACUUGAAUGAAAGUGAAUUGGAUCGGGUGGCAAAGUUAUUGGGACAUGACACCCAGGUCCAUAAAGAGUACUACAGGCUCUCUGAAAAUGCAGCACAUCUAGCAGAAAUCAGCAAACUGCUGCUUGCAAUGGAUCAGGUUCCAGUGGUAAUUCCAGGGCCAUCUGAGGAAAGGGUUGUUUCUCCUACAUAUGGGACAUCUUCUGCAGGGACAUACCCAGCUGGAACAGAUACUGGAAGGACAUAUCCUACCGAGACAUGUCCUACUGGGUCAUCAUAUCCUACAGAGACAUAUUCAGCGAAGUCAUAUACUGUGGAGGCACAGCCUUCAAGGUCAUAUCAUGCUGGGACAUAUCCUGAGAAGUCAUAUCCUUCAGGAUUACAAUCUGUGAUGUCAUAUUCUGCGGGGACAGAUUCUGCGAGAGCAUAUCCUACCGUGACACAUCCUGCAGGGACCUAUCCAGCAGGUUCAUAUGUUGCAGGGACAUAUACUGCAGAGACACAUGAUGCAAGAUCAUAUCCUGCAAGUGCUUAUACUUCGGGGACGAAUCCUGUCAGGUCAUAUCCUGAAGGGACAUAUCCUGCGGGGAACCAUUUUGUGGGUACACAACUUGCUAGGUCAUAUCCUGCCGGAACAUAUCCUGCACAGACACUUCCUGAACAAACACUACCAGCGCAUACAGUUAUUACACCAACACUUCCAGCGCAUACAGUUAUUACACCAACACUUCAUGCCCAGACACUUCCAACGCAGACGCUUCCUGUUGUGGCAGUUCCUGAGGGGACAGGACUCCAGUGGUAUGUCCCUGAGUAUGUUGGCAGCAGCAGGGGGACAGGAUGACAUCCUGAGGCUCCUGAUAAAGAAGGGGGUGAAGGUGAACGGACGGCAGAAGAAUGGAACCACUGCCCUAAUGCACGCUGCAGAGAAGAACUUCCUGACCACAGUUGCUAUCCUCCUGGAGGCAGGGUCCUAUGUCAACGCUCCGACACUGGGAGGAGAGACGGCCCUGAUGAAGGCUUGUAAGAGAGGGAAUGCUGACGUGGUGCGCCUCCUACUGGAGUACGGGGCCGACUG